rnacentral:rRNA from 1 species
AACUUUUAACAAUGGAUCUCUUGGUUCUGGCAUCGAUGAAGAACGCAGCGAAAUGCGAUAAGUAGUGUGAAUUGCAGACUUUAGUGAAUCAUCGAAUCUUUGAACGCACAUUGCGCCCCUUGGUAUUCCAUUGGGCAUGCCUGUUCGAGCGUCA